GACGAACGCUGGCGGCGUGCCUAAUACAUGCAAGUAGAACGCUGAAGAGAGGAGCUUGCUCUUCUUGGAUGAGUUGCGAACGGGUGAGUAACGCGUAGGUAACCUGCCUUGUAGCGGGGGAUAACUAUUGGAAACGAUAGCUAAUACCGCAUAACAAUGGAUGACACAUGUCAUUUAUUUGAAAGGGGCAAUUGCUCCACUACAAGAUGGACCUGCGUUGUAUUAGCUAGUAGGUGAGGUAACGGCUCACCUAGGCGACGAUACAUAGCCGACCUGAGAGGGUGAUCGGCCACACUGGGACUGAGACACGGCCCAGACUCCUACGGGAGGCAGCAGUAGGGAAUCUUCGGCAAUGGGGGCAACCCUGACCGAGCAACGCCGCGUGAGUGAAGAAGGUUUUCGGAUCGUAAAGCUCUGUUGUAAGUCAAGAACGAGUGUGAGAGUGGAAAGUUCACACUGUGACGGUAGCUUACCAGAAAGGGACGGCUAACUACGUGCCAGCAGCCGCGGUAAUACGUAGGUCCCGAGCGUUGUCCGGAUUUAUUGGGCGUAAAGCGAGCGCAGGCGGUUUGAUAAGUCUGAAGUUAAAGGCUGUGGCUCAACCAUAGUUCGCUUUGGAAACUGUCAAACUUGAGUGCAGAAGGGGAGAGUGGAAUUCCAUGUGUAGCGGUGAAAUGCGUAGAUAUAUGGAGGAACACCGGUGGCGAAAGCGGCUCUCUGGUCUGUAACUGACGCUGAGGCUCGAAAGCGUGGGGAGCGAACAGGAUUAGAUACCCUGGUAGUCCACGCCGUAAACGAUGAGUGCUAGGUGUUGGAUCCUUUCCGGGAUUCAGUGCCGCAGCUAACGCAUUAAGCACUCCGCCUGGGGAGUACGACCGCAAGGUUGAAACUCAAAGGAAUUGACGGGGGCCCGCACAAGCGGUGGAGCAUGUGGUUUAAUUCGAAGCAACGCGAAGAACCUUACCAGGUCUUGACAUCCCGAUGCUAUUUCUAGAGAUAGAAAGUUACUUCGGUACAUCGGUGACAGGUGGUGCAUGGUUGUCGUCAGCUCGUGUCGUGAGAUGUUGGGUUAAGUCCCGCAACGAGCGCAACCCCUAUUGUUAGUUGCCAUCAUUCAGUUGGGCACUCUAGCGAGACUGCCGGUAAUAAACCGGAGGAAGGUGGGGAUGACGUCAAAUCAUCAUGCCCCUUAUGACCUGGGCUACACACGUGCUACAAUGGUUGGUACAACGAGUUGCGAGUCGGUGACGGCAAGCUAAUCUCUUAAAGCCAAUCUCAGUUCGGAUUGUAGGCUGCGACUCGCCUACAUGAAGUCGGAAUCGCUAGUAAUCGCGGAUCAGCACGCCGCGGUGAAUACGUUCCCGGGCCU
rnacentral:rRNA from 1 species